rnacentral:rRNA from 1 species
AUGGAACAACACAUGCGCAGACGACAUGGUGCCCGGAGCAGAGGGACACGAGGUGCUCAACCCAAGGAAAUGAAAAGAGCAACACGGCAAAACUCUCCUAGCCCUGAGAAACAACUCAAACACAAUAAGGCCAACCAGUAUCCAACUCCACCGUCGGGGACGCCGCGAGCGAACAAGACAACACCUUCAAGAAGAGGAACGGCGUCAAGACGCCGCCGUCGUCCGGUCCAGGAGCCCGGACCAAGGAUUUCCCCUGAUGCUUCGAUUGUAGGUGACAAAACUGCAACGUACUCCCUGAUCGUUUCUAUACCAUAA